rnacentral:tRNA from 1 species
AGCGCGGUGGAGCAGUCUGGUAAGCUCGUCUGGCUCAUAACCAGGAGGUCGGGGGUUCGAAUCCCUCCUGCGCUA